rnacentral:rRNA from 1 species
UACGAAGGGGGCUAGCGUUGUUCGGAAUUACUGGGCGUAAAGCGCGCGUAGGCGGUUUUGCAAGCCAGAGGUGAAAUGCCUGAGCUCAACUUAGGAAUUGCCUUUGGGACUGCGAGGCUUUGAGGACUGGAGAGGUGAGUGGAAUUCCCAGUGUAGAGGUGAAAUUCGUAGAUAUUGGGAAGAACACCGGUGGCGAAGGCGGCUCACUGGCCAGUUUCUGACGCUGCAGCGCGAAAGCGUGGGGAUCAAACGGG